AACGAACGCUGGCGGCAGGCUUAACACAUGCAAGUCGAACGCCCCGCAAGGGGAGUGGCAGACGGGUGAGUAACACGUGGGAACAUACCCUUCGGUUCGGAACAACGUUUGGAAACGAACGCUAAUACCGGAUACGGCUUACGAGCGAAAGAUUCAUCGCCGAAGGAUUGGCCCGCGUUCGAUUAGCUUGUUGGUGAGGUAACGGCUCACCAAGGCGACGAUCGAUAGCUGGUCUGAGAGGAUGGCCAGCCACAUUGGGACUGAGACACGGCCCAAACUCCUACGGGAGGCAGCAGUGGGGAAUAUUGGACAAUGGGCGCAAGCCUGAUCCAGCCAUGCCGCGUGAGUGAUGACGGCCUUAGGGUUGUAAAGCUCUUUCGCACGCGACGAUAAUGACGGUAGCGGAG
rnacentral:rRNA from 1 species